AGACAAUUAAUCUUCACAAUAAAUCAGAAAAUUCAGAAAAUAUUCAGCAGAUCCCACAGCAUCUGUGAAGAGGAAAACAGAAGUAACAUUUCAGAAACCCAGAGUGCAAGUUUGAAAUGGAUUCUUGCCAAUGAUGAAGAAAUAAGUUGCAACAUUUUGGAAUCCUGGAGAAGACUCAGGCAUAAUGAAUACAACCUCUAAGUGCCUCACAAUAGGCCUUUGAUAAAUUGGUGGAGCAGAUUGACCAGAAAUAGAAAAUAUGAAAAAAAAGGCAAUAUUGAUAAGCAGUCUUUGGGUUUGAGCUCAUGGCUAUUGAUCUUGGGCUGAAGAAGGGAGG